UAAGGAAUAUUGGUCAAUGGACGCAAGUCUGAACCAGCCAUGCCGCGUGAAGGAUGAAGGUCCUCUGGAUUGUAAACUUCUUUUAUCUGGGACGAAAACGGGAUUUUUAUCUCAAUUGACGGUACCAGAGGAAUAAGCACCGGCUAACUCCGUGCCAGCAGCCGCGGUAAUACGGAGGGUGCGAGCGUUAUCCGGAUUUACUGGGUUUAAAGGGUGCGUAGGUGGGCUUAUAAGUCAGUGGUGAAAUCUCCGAGCUUAACUUGGAAACUGCCGUUGAUACUAUAGGUCUUGAAUUAUCUGGAGGUAAGCGGAAUAUAUCAUGUAGCGGUGAAAUGCUUAGAUAUGACAUAGAACACCAAUUGCGAAGGCAGCUUACUACAUAUAAAUUGACGCUGAGGCACGAAAGCGUGGGGAUCAAACA
rnacentral:rRNA from 1 species